AGUAUUGGAAAGACCAGCUGGUGAUUGUAUUGCAACAGCUCAAAGAAAAAGAGAACGAAGCACAAUCUCUUCGAUCAAACAUGCGUAGAUUUUUCCUAAGUGAGGAAGAAAUGGAAGAAGUUGUUGCUAAGAGGUGUUGGCUUUCUCGUUAUUGGGGUCUAGCUCUUCAUUAUGAUCUCUUUCCAGGGAUUGCAAAGCGGAAACAUGAGCACUGGGCAGCAUUAGCGCCUAUUCCUCUUGAACUGGUCAUUUCUAUUGGAGAAAAAACUAAGGAAGAUUUUGAGAACCAAGG